GAAAGCGAUGCUAAUACCGGAUAAUAUCUUUUGUACCCAGGUACUUAAGAUCAAAGGUGGCCUCUACAUGUAAGCUACUGUUUGGGGAUGAGCCCGCGUACCAUUAGCUUGUUGGUAGGGUAACGGCCUACCAAGGCUGCGAUGGUUAGCUGGUCUGAGAGGAUGAUCAGCCACACUGGAACUGACACACGGUCCAGACUCCUACGGGAGGCAGCAGUGAGGAAUUUUGCGCAAUGGGGGAAACCCUGACGCAGCAACGCCGCGUGAGUGAUGAAGGCUUUCGGGUCGUAAAGCUCUGUCAAGUGGGAAGAACCCACAUGGUGCUAAUAUCACCAUGUGCUGACGGUACCACUGAAGGAAGCACCGGCUAACUCCGUGCCAGCAGCCGCGGUAAUACGGGGGGUGCAAGCGUUAUUCGGAAUUACUGGGCGUAAAGAGCGCGUAGGCGGUCUCUUAAGUCGGAUGUGAAAGCCCGGGGCUUAACCCCGGAAGUGCAUUCGAAACUAAGGGACUUGAGUAUGGGAGAGGGAAGUGGAAUUCCUGGUGUAGCGGUGAAAUGCGUAGAUAUCAGGAGGAACACCGGUG
rnacentral:rRNA from 1 species